rnacentral:rRNA from 1 species
UGACCUAAACCCUCACCAGAGUAACAAUUGGAGGGCAAGUCUGGUGCCAGCAGCCGCGGUAAUUCCAGCUCCAAUAGCGUAUAUUAAACUUGUUGCAGUUAAAAAGCUCGUAGUUGAAUUUUUGCGUGGUGUUAAUAUUGACUGAUGUCGAGAUUGCACUUCGCUUUUGGGAUUUUUCCCUUUCUACUUUGAGAAAAUUAGAGUGUUUCAAGCAGACUUUUGUCUUGAAUACUUCAGCAUGGAAUAAUAGAGUAGGACUUUGGUUCUAUUUUGUUGGUUUGUGAACCUUAGUAAUGGUUAAUAGGAACGGUUGGGGGCAUUCGUAUUUAACUGUCAGAGGUGAAAUUCUUAGAUUUGUUAAAGACGAACUACUGCGAAAGCAUUUGCCAAGGACGUUUUCAUUAAUCAAGAACGAAAGUUAGGGGAUCGAAGACGAUCAGAUACCGUCGUAGUCCUAACCAUAAACUAUGCCGACUAGGGAUUGGAGGUCGUCAUUUUUCCGACUCCUUCAGCACCUU